GCCGGCCGUAGGAGACACUCACAACCAGCUUGCGGGCGGAGGGGGGCGCCUCGGGCGCGGGCAGGGAGGGGCGGAGCGGAAACGGGCCCCACGUUAGCUUUUAUUAGGACCUGGCCCGCCGCGAGGAGAUGACAGUCACCGAACUCGCUGUUUGGGCCCGAGGGUUCGCUCCUCCAGGGCUGGCUCCCGCCGCGCAUUUCCACAGAGGGCCUCCCGUCCGGACCAGGACUUCCUUAGGGACCCUCCAGACCGCGCGCCACCCGAGCACGAGGGCGAGAGAGAUCAUGCCACCCCGACGGCCGAGAGGGCGAACCCGGGCCGGGGGCGAGUCACGGGGCCGGGAGCUAAGACAGGGGCGGGCCGGGCGGUGACCGCAGACGUCGCCAUCGUGGUACCUCCCGCCGACCCAGGCGCGUCCGACCAGCUGCCCUCCCCGUCUCCCGGGUCCGCCUCCGGUUCUCGGUUCUCGGGGCUCUCCGCGCUAGGCUCCGUCACUUGGAACGGCCCGUGCUCCAGGCGCGGGCGGCGUCUUGGGACAGGGCGACGGCGGCAGGGGACCGGUCUCGGUUAUACCGCGGUGAAGUGAGGAUGGGGACAGCUUCAAGUCGGCCUGGGGUCCUGGGGAGCCACACGGAUAGCAGAGCCUGCAGGGCAGUGCGUCCGGCGCGCGGCGGCGGCGGCGGCGGGGCGAUCCGGGUUCUUUCCCCGCAGGGUUGACGCCCCGGAGAGUCAGUCGGGUUGAGUGAGGGGCGAGCGUGCUGGUCCAACGAGCCUUACGGCCGAGCGUGCAGGCUUUGCGGAGAAUCCACCGUGGAACGGAACGGACGCGGGCCCGGGGGCGGGGGCGUCUAGUGGCGGGAGGCUGGAGAGGAGAGAGGAGGGGAGGAGGGCGGAGGCCGGCUCCCAGCCGCACUCACACGUUCCUACCCCGGGGGCAGCUCGCUCCCCGCCCGAGGUCCGGGCCCUGCGCCUCCCGGAUGCCCCGCGUCGACCCCGCGGCUCUCUCGGGAGCACGCGCACCGCUCUGGUCCCGCAGCUCCCCGCCACACGCCCCCUCCCUGCUCCGGCCGGCCGGGGUCACAGUUCCCAGGGAAGGACGCGAGGGAGCGGAAAGGGGUGUGAAAAUCGACCAGGAAUGCGGGGGAUGGCUGCAACCGUAACGGCGUGUGGAGCGGCCCACCGCAGCCGAGUGGGCCGAGAACGUGGCCUGAAGCUUUUCUCUUCACCGCUUACCAGGUUAUCGCUUUGUGGCCCCGAGGGCAGAGACGGAGAGCGAGCUGGCAAGUGGGAAGGAACUGGGCUCCAGCGCGGCCGGCCUGAGUAGUGGAGGCUCCACCUGCUUCCAAGUGGGCCGGCGCUUGGCUGACCUGUGUGCCACCGGAAUCCGUCUCCGCGCUUUCCAUGCGGCUCCGGGAAGUCCUGGUCUCCCCCUCUCCCCUUGGUGCCUCCACCUCUUUUUGUGUCUUGUGCUUCCCCACCCCCGGGGUCUCCUGGAACCCUGUCACUCACUCCUCUGCCAAUCCAAUCCCCCCACCACCGCCGCCACCUCUUCUCCAAGCGUUCCCCCACUCCUUCUGCCUGCUUGAACUUUGCCCUCCUCCAAACCGAGGGUUUGGUGAGGAGCAGUGUUUGAUAGGAAUGAGGAAUAACGCCUGCGCACGAGUGACUGGGCCUCCGGCUUAGAGGAUUUAAACCCGGCUCCUUCAGGUAGCUCUCAACUCGCCCUGCCUGACCGACCGACCGACCAAGCAACCGCUUACUUACCCUUAUGGAAAAAAAGUCCGGCAGAUGGGGUCAGAAGUACACAGGUCUUCCUCGGUAGGGAUGAAAAAGUCCUUCUUCCAGAUCGGUCUAUGGCAGCGUUUGAGCACCCUGGUGGCACACCGGAAUCUCCUGGGCCUUCAUUUAAAUCAGACUCCUGUCCCAGCACGGCCGGCCGGCUGAGGAGCAAUCGAAUUGGAGUCUCCGGGGUGGGGCCGAGGCUGCUGUACUUCCCAACCUGCCAGAUGUUCCUGUUGCACGGUGUGCCUCCCAGAAGCACUCCUUGGAGCACCUGGGAAGAUGCCGCAGGUCACCUUGUUCUGAACCCUGAAUGCCCUGUGACAGACACGGAAAGCGGUGGAUGCGCUCCUGCAAAUCCGGGCAUGAGUCGCUUUAGAUUUAUUUUUUUUUUAAUUUAUUUAUGAUAGACAGAGGAGGAGAGAGAGAGAGAGAGAGAGAGAGAGAGAGAGAGAGAGAGAGGCAGAGACACAGGCAGAGGAGAGGGAGAAGCAGGCUCCAUGCUGGGAGCCCGACGCGGGACUCGAUCCCGGGACUCCAGGAUCGCACCCUGGGCCAAAGGCAGGUGCGAAACCGCUGAGCCACCCAGGGAUCCCCCAUGAGUCGCUACUGGCGUGGUGUUUAGCACACCUUAGGCACUCGGCGUACCAAAGAGGAAAUAACGGAUUCCCUGGUCCUGGCACAGACAGGAGGCCACCCAGUCUAGUGGGGAGGCCCUUGGAUCCUAUACGGGAAUCUGCGGAGACCCAGUGCCAGACGGAGCUUCCGUGCUGCGCUGCUGCUCUGCGGAACCGGAUGGGCACCGCCCUUCCCAAACCCACCCUCCAAAUUUGUUUUAGAUGUGGAGACUGAUGACACCACCCGUGAGGGGAUGAGAAGGUUGACAGCUCACAUAAUGAGGCUUUCCAGGGAGACCGAGGUGGCUCCCAGGCAUAAUUCAAAAAGGGCUUGAGAGCAAGGGGUCGGUCGGUGUGUUUAUGGUGGUGAGUGGAGGGCCUGGGAUAAGGCUUUUUAUCAGCUCCAUCGACCAGAGAGGAGGAGUCAGGAGGAGAGGAGGGAGUGGCAAGGCUUCCAAGCUGUGGGCAGUCAAAUGUCCAGACCAGGUCAGACUCCCACAAGCUGCUUUCUCCUCUAGGGAAUGGGGAUGGGAAGCCGCCUUCCAUGGGCACGGUACAGAUGACUCGGGACCUUAAGUGAUCCUGCCUUCGUGCCUUCCACGACUGCAACGUCCCGGGUUCCUCCCUCCUGUCCACAUGUCCUGAAAUUCUGACUUGCACUGAAAUUCUGACCUGAAGCUCCCCUGAGACGUCGGGCAGGCCUCCGUGACUCAGCUGGCUUUGUGUUCCAUCCCACCUUCUCAUUUAUUGAGUAAGCCUCGCGCGCGUGCUCCUGGUCGGGACACAGAGCCACGUGGCUCGAGAGGCCUUGGACCUCAAAGGGGUCAUGGCCAGGUGGGAGCCACAGCCUGGUGUUCCUCUCUCACAGUCCCCUGCACAGGGAUCAUGGCGUUGUGGCCAUUUGGCCACGUGUCUUAUCCGGGUCCGGUCCUGGGCCGGAUGCUCCCAGUUGGGGGCCCGGAGGAGACAGGAACCGUGUCUGGCUUCUCUCUACUCCCAGGACCAAGCCCCGCUCUGGUGGGUGGAGUCGCAAGUGAUAAAGGACUGUUGGUUAAGUUGGAACCGGUGGUGAUGGCAGAAGGCCCAGAGUCCAGUGGGGUGGGAUCCAGACUCCAGCUCAGCCGCUGGCAGAUAUGUCCUCCUGGGCAGAUCCACUUCCCCAGGGUAAAACAAACAAACAAACACACAUGCUUUAUCACUGGGCCUCCUGGUCUGAGGGUCCGUCCACUCUGUACUGCCUGUCGCUUUCCAAAGGGGCAUCCAUUCUCUUGAGGAUUCUCCGUGCAAGUCACCCACCAUGCACCACCACCACCACCAUCACCACCCCUCCCCCAACCAUGAAUCCCUAGUGGGCAGGAAUCAGAUCACAGUCGCCUUUUAGUGUUGGGCUCUGUGUGAUUCAGCGUGCCCAGCCAUCAUCUGCGUGGAACGUAUAGGUCAGUCCUGUGGCCUCAAAGAACCAAAGGUGGUUUCUUCAAUGUGUUCUGCUUUUUUUUUUUUUUUUUUAAGUAAGCUCUUGGCCCAAUGUAGGGCUUCAACUCAUGACCCUGAGAUCAAGAAUCUCACGCUCUACCAACAGCCAGCCAAGCACCCCUGUUCUGCCCCCCCCCGUUUUUUUUGCUUGUUUGUUUGUUUUUAAGAUUUAACUUUUUUUUAAAUUUUUUAAAUUUAUUUAUUUAUGAUAGUCAGAGAGAGAGAGAGAGAGAGAGAGAGAGAGAGAGGCAGAGACACAGGCAGAGGGAGAAGCAGGCUCCAUGCACCGGGAGCCCGAUAUGGGAUUCGAUCCCGGGUCUCUCUUUUUUUUUUUUUAAUUUUUUAUUUAUUUAUGAUAGUCACAGAGAGAGAGAGGCAGAGACACAGGCAGAGGGAGAAGCAGGCUCCAUGCACCGGGAGCCCGAUGUGGGAUUCGAUCCCGGGUCUCCAGGAUCACGCCCUGAGCCAAAGGCAGGCGCCAAACCGCUGCGCCACCCAGGGAUCCCUAAGAUUUAACUUAUUUGAGAGAGAGCGAGAGAGCUUGUGUGCAGGCACACGUUAGCGGGGAGAGGGGCAGAGGGACAGGAUCUCAGGCGGACAUCCACCGCCCACACCCCCACCCACCUUCUCCCACUCUGAGCCCAGAACCCAAGGCAGGGCUUGAUCUCAGGACCCUGUGAUCUUGACCUGAGUCCAAAUCGAGGGUCCCACGCGUAACCCACGGAGCCACCCAGGCACCCCCCUGCUGUGCUACUUUUGAAAAAACCUCCAAAGGCAGGGGGUGGGCACCCGGUUGGCUUAGUGGUAGAGCACCCACCGAGAAAUUACUUGAAAAUCAGAUCUUUAAAAAAGAGACCAGGAAAAAAAAUCCAGGCACGUUACAAAAAUGUACGUGUGGUGCACUUUAGGAUCGGAGGUGGCCUCUGAUACACUGUACUGCAAGGUAGACACCAAAUGGCUGAAGAUUUAGGUGUUGAGAAAGAAGUAGAAAAAGACCUAAGGGAAGAUGUGGGACAUUAUUUUAUAACCUCAUGGUGAAGUCCUUUCUAACUGUGACUCAAGGUGGAAAGAAAAACUAUUUACUUAAAAAACGGAUCGAUGGGAUGACGUGAAAGAGGACUUUUUAAAAGUCUACUUAGGUAUUUAUUUAGUAAUGUCUACGCCCAGCGUGGGGUUCGAACCCAGGCCCCGCCCUUCCCACUGAGCCACCGGGCGCCCCCGAAAGCUACCUUUCAGUGGGUGAACCUUCGGCACCUGGCAUCGUCGCCCUACGCAAGGCCCGGAGACAGCUGUGCAACAGAAGAAAAUACUCCAGGCUUCUAUUACAGACGCGGGGCCAGAGCCCUGAAUAUGUAAAUGACAGAUAGAAGCCGAAUCAAGCACAGAGCCAGGAAGGGGCCGGAGUCCCCGACCCGAGAGUUCAGGAGGCGCAAGUCAAGGUUCUCAAGGUCUAAAUACCUGAAUCCAGGGACAUCCUCCAAAUGCCAGGAACUGCUCAUUGGCUGUCAUACCCGUCGG